rnacentral:misc_RNA from 1 species
UCCGGCUUAUCACCGGCGGUUUCUUUAGAGUGCCCAACUAAAUGAUGGCAACUAAAGACGAGGGUUGCGCUCGUUGGCGGACUUAACCGUACACCUCACGGCACGAGCUGACGACAGCCAUGCAACAAGUGUCUUCACGUCUUCCUUUUGGGAAGAGGGCCCUAUUUCUAGAGCUUACGAUCGAUGUCAAACCUGGGUAAGGUUCUUCGGUUAGUAUCGAAUUAAUCCACAUGCUCCACCGCUUGUGCGGGUCCCCGUCAAUUCAUUUGAGUUUCAACCUUGCGGCCGUACUCCCCAGGCGGGAUACUUAGUGCGUUAGCUGCGGCACAAGAGGGGUCGAUACCUCUUACGCCUAGUAUCCAUCGUUUAGGGCGUGGACUAC